CUAAAUAUAUCUGCGUACUUGGUGGUUGAGACAAUGGACCAUGAACAUAGUGUUAGGCUGUGCUUCUGGAUCCUUGUGAAACCAGUACCAGACUAUAACUGUUGCUGUGUUCUGUCCACAACAACACUAAAACCUAAAAAUAUGAAUUUAAAUAUUUAUAUUAUGAUUUUUAAUAGUUCUUUCACAAAUUGCCAUGUUCUGCUCACAACAACACUAAAACCCUAAGAAACUGCUCUUAAAUAUUUAUUAUUUUAUGAUCUGGCUUUUUAAAAUUAUCUUUAUCUAAUGCUAAAUAGGUCUGCGUACUUGGUGGUUGAGACAAUGGACCAUGAACACAGUGUUAGGCUGUGCUUCUGGAUCCUUGUGAAACCAGUACCAGACUAUAACUGUUGCUGUGUUCUGUCCACAACAACACUAAAACCUAAAAAUAUGAACUUAAAUAUUUAUAUUAUGAUUUUUAACAGUACUUUUACUAAUUGCUGUGUUCUGCCCACAACAACACUAAAACCCUAAGAAACUGCUCUUAAAUAUUUAUUAUUUUAUGAUCUUUUUUCUGACUUUUAUUAAUUAUCUUUAUCUAAUGCUAAAUAUGUCUGCGUACUUGGUGGUUGAGACAAUGGACCAUGAACAUAGUGUUAGGCUGUGCUUCUGGAUCCUUGUGAAACCAGUACCAGACUAUAACUGUUGCUGUGUUCUGUCCACAACAACAAUAAAACCUAAAAAUAUGAUCCUAAAUAUUUAUAUUAUGAUUUUUAAUAGUUCUUUCACAAAUUGCCAUGUUCUGCUCACAACAACACUAAAACCCUAAGAAACUGCUCUUAAAUAUUUAUUAUUUUAUGAUCUGGCUUUUUAAAAUUAUCUUUAUCUAAUGCUAAAUAGGUCUGCGUACUUGGUGGUUGAGACAAUGGACCAUGAACAUAGUGUUAGGCUGUGCUUCUGGAUCCUUGUGAAACCAGUACCAGACUAUAACUGUUGCUGUGUUCUGUCCACAACAACACUAAAAACCUCAAAAUAUGAACUUAAAUAUUUAUAUUAUGAUUCUUUUAUAGUUCUUUCACAAAUUGCCAUGUUCUGCUCACAACACUAAAACCCUAAGAAACUGCUCUUAAAUAUUUAUUAUAUUAUGAUUUGACUUUUAUUAAUCAUCUUUAUCUAAUGCUAAAUAGGUCUGCGUACUUGGUGGUUGAGACAAUGGACCAUGAACAUAGUGUUAGGCUGUGCUUCUGGAUCCUUGUGAAACCAGUACCAGACUAUAACUGUUGCUGUGUUCUGCUCACAACAACACUAAAACCUAAAAAUAUGAUCCUAAAUAUUUAUAUUAUGAUUUUUAACAGUACUUUUACUAAUUAGUGUGUUCUGUCCACAACCACACUAAAACCUAAAAAUAUGAAUUUAAAUAUUUAUAUUAUGAUCUUUAACAGUACUUUUACUAAUUAGUGUGUUCUGUCCACAACAACACUAAAACCUAAAAAUAUGAUCCUAAAUAUUUAUAUUAUGAUUUUUAACAGUACUUUUACUAAUUGCCAUGUUCUGCCCACAACAACACUAAAACCCUAAGAAACUGCUCUUAAAUAUUUAUAAUUUUAUGAUUUGACUUUUAUUAAUUAUCUUUAUCUAAUGCUAAAUAGGUCUGAGUACUUGGUGGUUGAGACAAUGGACCAUGAACAUAGUGUUAGGCUGUGCUUCUGGAUCCUUGUGAAACCAGUACCAGAUUAUAACUGUUGCUGUGUUCUGUCCACAACAACACUAAAACCUAAAAAUAUGAUCCUAAAUAUUUAUAUUAUGAUUUUUAACAGUACUUUUACUAAUUGCUGUGUUCUGUCCACAACAACACUAAAACCUAAAAAUAUGAACUUAAAUAUUUAUAUUAUGAUCUUUAACAGUACUUUUACUAAUUGCUGUGUUCUGCCCACAACAACACUAAAACCCUAAGAAACUGCUCUUAAAUAUUUAUUAUUUUAUUAUCUUUUUUCUGACUUUUAUUAAUUAUCUUUAUCUAAUGAUAAAUAGGUCUGAGUACUUGGUGGUUGAGACAAUGAACCAUGAACAUAGUGUUAGACUGUGCUUCUGGAUCCUUGUGAAACCAGUACCAGAUUAUAACUGUUGCUGUGUUCUGUCCACAACAACACUAAAAACCUAAAAAUAUGAUCCUAAAUAUUUAUAUUAUGAUUUUUAACAGUACUUUUACUAAUUAGUGUGUUCUGUCCACAACAACAAUAAAACCUAAAAAUAUGAUCCUAAAUAUUUAUAUUAUGAUUUUUAAUAGUUCUUUCACAAAUUGCCAUGUUCUGCUCACAACAACACUAAAACCCUAAGAAACUGCUCUUAAAUAUUUAUUAUUUUAUGAUCUGGCUUUUUAAAAUUAUCUUUAUCUAAUGCUAAAUAGGUCUGCGUACUUGGUGGUUGAGACAAUGGACCAUGAACAUAGUGUUAGGCUGUGCUUCUGGAUCCUUGUGAAACCAGUACCAGAUUAUAACUGUUGCUGUGUUCUGUCCACAACAACACUAAAACCUAAAAAUAUGAAUUUAAAUACUUAUAUUAUGAUCUUUAACAGUACUUUUACUAAUUGCUGUGUUCUGCCCACAACAACACUAAAACCUAAAAAUAUGAGCAAAUAUUUAAUACAAAUAAAGCUUAAUUAGUCCUCCGAAGAGGGGGGGUGGUGGCGGGCCCAAAAAAACCCAGACAUAUUCAUAUAAAAAUCUGCUCUUAAAUAUUUAUUAUAUUAUUAUCUUUUUUUCUGACUUUUAUUAAUUAUCUUUAUCUAAUGCUAAAUAGGUCUGCGUACUUGGUGGUUGAGACAAUGGACCAUGAACAUAGUGUUAGGCUGUGCUUCUGGAUCCU